UUUAGGUUUCUCUCUAUAUCCUUCAAAAAGAAGUAUUUUCUCCUCUUCACCGACUCCGAUUUCCAAACCUCUUCGUUCUCCAUCUCUCUGGCGGUGCUGGCCGCCGUGACGAGGAGGAGAAAUAAAUCCCAGUGACCAAGCUCGGUCGUCACGUCAAGGACGGUAAGAUCUCGUCUCUGGGGCAGAUUUACCUCCACUCGCUUCCAAUCAAGGAGCACCAGAUCAUCGACACUCUCUACGCUGGUCUGCAGGAUGAGGUCAUGAAGAUCAUGCCGGUUCAGAAGCAGACCCGUGCCGGUCAGAGGUCUCGAUUCAAGGCCUUUGUCGUCGUCAUCGACAGCAAUGACCACGUCGGACUCAGCGUCAAGUGCAGCAAGGAGGUUGCUACUGCUAUUCGUGGAGCCAUUAUUCUGGCUAAGCUUUCGGUGAUUUAAGGUUAAGCAAUCAUAUCUUGUUGCACCACAUGACUUGCAUUUUCAAAUAGUUCGCCAUCUUUUGAAGGAGCAUAUCUGGCAAUCAACUGAUUAUAAGGUUAUUAUUUUCUGUACAACUGGAAUGGUAACAUCCCUUCUCUACCUUUUUCUCUGUGAAAUGAAAAUGAAUGUCAGGAAGAUACAUUCUAGAAAGCCUCAACUGUAUUGAACUCGUAUCUCUGAGGAAUUCAAGGAAUCAAAGCAAUUGAUUCUUGUUACCUCUGAUGCAUCAGCACCUGGAAUGAACUAUCCUGAUGUUACAUUGGUCAUUCAGAGGGUGUAAAAGCUGGAGCUAAGGCAGCUGUUAUUGCAAGCAUUGCCACUGGAAUUCCAACUGCUACUUUUGAGUGUCCUGAAAACCUAUGGUUUCUUGACACCUGAAUUCUGGAGGGAGACUCGCUUCACAAAGAUGUUUUAAGGAUUUGGUGUAAUCUUCGCUUGCAUGGAUGUUUUUAUAUAGGUUGUAUAUAUUCUUAUAAGGAUGUUGUUAUGCCCUUUUUUUCUUCAAUUGUUUAUGUACCUUGAGUAUCAAUAUUAAUGAGAAUGAUAUUCUCUUCAUCUUUCUUUA